rnacentral:lncRNA from 1 species
GGGCAAAGAGCAUCUGUUCCCUCCAUUCUCCUAGCUCCAUCGGCUGCCAACCUAAGGCCAUCGCCUGCCUCCAUCACCCCUUCGCCUGCCUGCCUACCACCCAAUCCCAAAUGGGUGCUGGAUCAGGUCCUCCUUCUCAUCACUUCUUAGGCAUGGAGAGAUGAAGGACAGAUGGAGUACCGCACAAGGAUACAAUGGAGGAAGCAGGCCAUGACUAAGACCCCAAGGAUGAAGAAUGGAGAGCCCUGACCGUCCUCCUGGCCUCCAGUCAUUUCCCCACUGAAGAUGGCCGUACCCUCUAGCCUGGGAGGACCAUGGCCCAACAAUGGCAGUGGGAGAGAAGAUGACUCUGUGGAGGACACUCUCCGUUAUCUGUGAUGACAUACACCAGCCCCCGAACAAUUUAACCUCAAGCUGCCCUCUGCAAGACUUCGGUAGCACUGGACUUCCCUCAUUCCUGAUGACAACUUCA